ACAUUCAUCACCACGACCAUCAUCGUUAUCUUCACCAGCCAAAUGUAGUUAUCUUCAUCGCUGCCAUCAGGUUUUCUUUAUCAUCAUCAUCACAACUUUUACAGGCUCACUGUCAUAAUCAUCAUCAUCAUAACCACAAAUGGUUGUCUGACUAUAGCAGUUGUCAUUGUCGUUACAAUAAAACACCACGCUCUAUUUUCAUCAUAGUCUUCAUCAGCAGCAGCAUCAACUUAUCUUCAUCAUCAUUACUGUUACUAGAGAUGACCGACAUUACUACAAUGACCAUUAGAGCCAGCGGCAAAAUCUUCCAGAUAAAAAACAGACAAACCCCCCAAACAAGUUAUCAACCAGCCCGAGCGGGUCUGGUUCCUGCUGCCUUGCAUCUUAUUUCUUAAUUCUCCUGGACGCGCUCGCUGUCGUGAGCGCGCCAUCACGUGGGAGGUCCCUUUAAGUUUCCAUCGACUGAGGCCUGAGCGUGUCACAUGGACAUGAUAUAAUGAAAAGGCAGGAACAGAGUGAGUGCGCUGGGCUCUUUGCUAAAGCAGAAGGGAGCAGAAAUGUACGCAGUCAUCUGCCGACAGUGUAGAGGGCCAGGGGGCCGAGCCCAACCGAACGCUGCCGAUCUCGACCGGGCUGGGCCGAGCCGGACAGACUGCGCCUCAUCGGACGGGACCUCUGUGUUCGCCGUUGCACCUGCCAGCUGUGACGCGCACUUUAAAAGAGGAGGAAAAUGUCGCCUGUGCGCGUAUUUCGCACAGUCCCGGAGCAAAGGAGGAGCGCCCUUCGGUGUGAGUGAACUUAUUUCUAAUAGCUCGGCUGGUGUGGGGAUCGGCUCCGGGUUGCUGCCGCAGGCUCUGCUGGAGGCAAAUGCAUGCUGCAGACGCCUUUUGGGCUUCAAAUCAGCAAACGGCACUGGAAUGACGCACCCCUGGCUAAAAGAAGCUGAAGAAGACCAGAGCAGAGAGGCUGUGAUGUAACUACAGCAUUGGACUCAGCGCAGAUGGGAGCAGACGGACGGACGGAACGAGGAUGACAUCACUGUUACCCGUGGGAGCCUGGGCCUGUCAUUCUUGGUGUCACUUCCUGGGAGAGAAUAGAACAGGAAGCCAGCGCGAGAGCCGACAACGAGCGCUCCCCUCACCUCCACAAGGAAGCCUUUUUCCCCCGAGAGCAAAAUGUGUGUCUGCUUGUGUCCCUCGCUCACUCCUGCAUUCAUCGCGCAGAGGGCUGGUGCUGGUUCAGAAUUUGUGUAAGCCCUGAUUGUUUUCAUUUCCUUUGAGCUCAGUUCUGAGCCUUUUGCAACAAAUCCUUUGAAGAGCUUGUUAUUUUACACGUCAACGGUAGUUAAAAUAAGUCAGAGUGGUGACUUUAUGGGUACGGAUGCAGUAAGCUGUGCCUCUGCAGGCUUUAUUUUGCUGCCCUGGGUCAGCAGUGUUUGGAGGAGGGUGGAUUUACAAACGUGGAGGCCACUGUGACGUCACCUGAUGGUGUUGGACUCUGGGUCGGGGUGAGGCUCGGUCCCUUGGCCGGUGCCACACUCUGCUUCUAUGCUGGAGCUUUCCCAUAUUGGACAAAAGGGUCGAGUGAAAAUUGGUUAGCUGCAUGUGUAGCUUGCAGGGCUCUAUCCAUAAUUUCUGAUCAGUCCUUUUCCUGAAUGGUGUAAGCCUCAGAUAUUUGUCAGGUAACUCUGUUUAACUCCAAAAGGCUCCAAAAGGAAAAGUCCAGUUUGACUCUGCACAGAGCCCUCAGUUAAACCCUCAACAUCCACUCAUGUUACCAGAUCAACAGUUAUUCAUAUGGCUAUUUGUUGAUAUUGUGUUACUGUUGUAAAAUGCAGGGACGUGGCUGCAGCUCAGAAACUGCAGCGAGUCAUCAGGAAGAUCGAAGAGCUUCUCUUCCUGUUGAAGUGUUCUCUUAAGAUGAUGGCUGAAAUAAGUUAGUAAGCUUUGUUGAAAUGCCAGCUCAUCGUGAGCUUUGGUUUGCUUUUUUAAUCAUGAGGCUUUGUGAUGAUUCAUGUCUGUGUUAAGGUGCUAACGUGGCUGAUUCAGAGCUGCUAAUGAGUAGACGUGUUGUUCUACUUGUCUUCAUGCUCUAAAACGCUGCAUCCAACUGAGCGACUCAAAUGCAGCCUGCUUAAUGCGUACACAGCAUCUUUGUACUAUUCAUCACUGUGCAGGCAUACAAAGCAGGCACACGUCCUGCUACCUGAAUAGUUUUUACACAAAUCCUGAACUCACCCAUAUGGAAAAGAUAUAUAUAAAUCUUAUAAAGUUUGUAUCUG